UGAUGGAAGGCACCACUUAAACUGGGGCAUUUCAACAAACAGCUGAUGUCCGUCUCCGGUAUGUCGCUCCUUCCCAUCGCUUUGCGUGACCCACCAUGGGGAGAUGGGAGAUGGUCACACUGCGCACUCCUGAUCUUCUUCCUUCAACCUGGUGUCCUAAUGAAACCAGGAGAGGGGAUGGGGCCUUGUCCUCCUGCUGUGUCGGAUCGGGCACAACCACAGUGAUCGGGUUCGGUGUCGGGAGCCAUCCAACCCCACCUUGAGCUCAGCAGAUGAUCAAGACAAAGCAAAUCUCCAUCCGAGGAACCUUGCUCUUUCUGGGUAGUAGAUUUAACGCGAAGCAACAUGGAUAGUGGCUCAACUGGCAAAGAGAUUACUAUGGAAUGAUGGAGAAAGAGGAUAAUAGUCUUAAAUCUUUCAAUAGGACUAUUCAUCUUUACCAAAAUAUACAUAGAUUUUCUGAAAUGACAAAAUCUUAUUUUCGUUCUAAAAUGGUUGCAUCACCAUCUAUGCAUACUGGUCAAAAGACUCGAUUCAUUCAGCCAAAUCAAGGGCAUGUGUUGCACUCCAAGUCAAAGUCGAUGAGCCUGCUAAACUCAGUGCUCUCCACGGACGACAUGACAAUGACCCCAUCAAAUGCUGAAAUCCAAUGAGUUCAAGUCCACCAUCCAUGUCAAAUUCAUAUGGUAUGUGUUUUCUUGCUUCUACUCAUGUUCUUCGUCGCAAUUCAUGGAUAUGAAGGGUAGUCGAUUAUUUUCUGUUUGCUUUGAUAACGUCAGCUAUUGCAUAUUCCUUGUUUGGUUCCUAACUUGGUCAGCUUCUAUUCAUUAUUUGUCAGGAUUGACAAUUUUUUUCUGGAAAUUAUUAAUUAAAUAUAUGUAUACUUGUAUAAAGAUUUGAAAGACAAGUUUGCUUGUAUGAUUAGAAAUUCAAAUUUGUAGAGGUUGCUACUGGAAAAAGAAAUAAGGAUUGGUUAUUCUAUAAAUACAUUAUAUUAACAUAACAUCAAAUAACAUUUUGAUGGUAGUAUGAUAGAUCUAGACUUUUCUUUAGUAGAUAUAGAGAGGUGAAAGAGAUUUUUUCCUUCUUUGAGGAUUAUGUGAGAGUGCACAUGAGUUUUUGGACUUGAGUUGGAAACAGGGUAUGUAUGGUCAUCAAGUGUACAAUACAAUGCAAGAAAGUUUACUCUCACUCAUGCCAAGGAAACUCUUGAAGGGCAAGGCCUUCGAUUGUUGGUACAAGAAGGAAAUUGCCAAAUUGACUGCCAAAUAUUUGACAUUACAAACUGCAUCUUCCAGCAAGCAAAGUUCAUAGUAUUGCUAUCAGAGAUUCCAGUAGCCUUGGGGGUGUCAACAAGCCAUCUCAAGAUUUGUGAUGUCAAGGCCUUUUGCAUGGCAUUGUUAAGAGCGUCUUAUGUGUAGUUUAGCAUAUAAAUUGGUUGCAUACAUGCUGUUUUGGUGGGAGAUGAUAGAUAGACUUCUUUGCAUAUGAAUAGGUUGCAUACACUCUGUUACGGUGGAAGAUAAUAUACUUCUUUAAUAUAAUAGAAUUCUUUGCAUAUGAAUAUGCAUACAUUC